CCUAAAGGCGUAAUGAAAGUAAAGAUUGGCCUUGUGUCAAUUGAGGGAGGAUGAGUUGCAUUAUUAUUAUACAAUGUAAUUCCGCACUCCCGGGGCGUCUCAUUCACAUUAUGCGAAGAGGCGCACCUAGAGCGUACACGUUGGGACCCGAAAGAUGGUGAACUAUGCCUGGUGAGGAUGAAGUCAGGGGAAACCCUGAUGGAGGUCCGUAGCGAUUCUGACGUGCAAAUCGAUCGUCGGAACUGGGUAUAGGGGCGAAAGACUAAUCGAACCAUCUAGUAGCUGGUUCCCUCCGAAGUUUCCCUCAGGAUAGCUGGCAUUCGUAUGUUCAAUUGAACGUAUACGAGUCUCAUCUGGUAAAGCGAAUGAUUAGAGGCAUUGGGGCCGAAACGACCUCAACCUAUUCUCAAACUUUAAAUGGGUGAGAUCUCUGGCUUGCUUGAUAAUAAAUAUAUGUAUUAUUUUAUUAUAAUAUAUAUAAAAUGAAGCCAUGAGAGAUUAUAUAUUGGAUCAGAGUGCCAAGUGG
rnacentral:rRNA from 1 species